rnacentral:rRNA from 1 species
AUUGAACGCUGGCGGCAUGCUUUACACAUGCAAGUCGAACGGCAGGCGCGGGGGCAACCCUGGCGGCGAGUGGCGAACGGGUGAGUAAUGUAUCGGAACGUAUCCUGUAAUGGGGGAUAACCAGUCGAAAGAUUGGGUAAUACCGCAUACGCACGAGAGUGGAAAGUAGGGGAUCGCAAGACCUUACGUUAUAGGAGCGGCCGAUAUCUGAUUAGCUAGUUGGUGGGGUAAAGGCCUACCAAGGCGACGAUCAGUAGCUGGUCUGAGAGGACGACCAGCCACACUGGGACUGAGACACGGCCCAGACUCCUACGGGAGGCAGCAGUGGGGAAUUUUGGACAAUGGGCGAAAGCCUGAUCCAGCCAUGCCGCGUGCAGGAAGAAGGCCUUCGGGUUGUAAACUGCUUUAGUCUAGGAAAAAGGGGUGCGAGGUUAAUACCCUCGUGCUUUGAUGGUACUGGAAGAAUAAGCACCGGCUAACUACGUG